rnacentral:RNase_P_RNA from 1 species
CAGGCAGACCAGACGAUGGCCGGUACAGCUUUAUGGCUGUACGGGAGGAAAGUCCGGGCUUCGCAGGGCAGGAUGCCGGCUAACGGCCGGCCGAGGUAACUCGCGGGAAAGCGCAACAGAAAGUAAACAGCCGGGCAACCGGUAAUGGUGAAACGGCGGUGUAAGAGACCACCGGUUCGAUGGUAACACCGAACGCAUUGCAAGCCCCAUCCGAAGCAAGAUCAAACAGAAAACUAUAGAUUUGCCCGAUCUGUUUUCAGGUAGAUCGCUUGAGGCUGCUGGUAACAGUAGUCCUGGAUAGAUCAUCGUCAAAUACAGAACCCGGCUUAUAGAUCUGCCUGUAUU